GAAUAAUGUAUUUUUCAUAAAUGAUCUCAUUAAGGAAAAUGGAGAAUUUUACAAUUAUGAUGAAUUUAUUAGAAAUCAUAAUAUAAAAACAACUUUCUUAGAGUUCUAUGGACUAAUCUUGGCUCUUCCAAAGGAAUGGAAGAAUAUAAUUCAUUCACAAGUAUUUAUCAAACUAAAUACUGUCAGUCACAAAAUUGUUACCGCCAUAAAAACAGUUGAUAAAGUAUCAAAACAUUUGUAUAAAUUUUUUCUAGAGAAAAUAAAGGAAACCCCAUCACGCAUACAAGAGAAAUGGAAAAUAAAAUUGGGAAUAGAUAUUGUGGCCGAAGAAUGGAAUUAUUUUUUUAGUCUUCCUUUACUUAUAACUGAAGAUCCCACAUUAAGGGCAUUUCAAUACAGAUUACUCCAUAGAAUUCUAGGAACAAAUAUUUUACUUAUGAAGUGUAAAUAUAGUGAAACAGAACUGUGCACUUUUUGUACAGAAACUAAAGAAACAUACAUACACCUCUUUUUUGAAUGUAGAUACGUUCGAACAUUCUGGCUUAAUUUUUUUCAAAAGUUAGAAGAUGUAUGUAAUGUAAGCUUUCUCCCAACCUUAUCAAGUAUAAUCUUGGGUGUUAAUUAUCACAUAUUUAAAGAUAUUCUAAAUACAUGUAUUCUGAUAUCGAAGAGAUAUGUUUACUUAUGUAGAGUUAGAUUUACAGUCCCAUCUGUUGCUGAAGCAAUUGAAUGGCUUAACUAUUAUUAUAGGGUUGACAUGGUCUCUAUGAGUUUGUGCUCUACCAAUAAAGCAAAAAGAAUAAAAGAAAAAUGGUCAAACAUUAAUAAUAUUAUUAAAAAAUAGAGCUCGAUGCAGAUGUAUUCUGUAUUCUGUUAUUUGAC
rnacentral:lncRNA from 1 species